AUGUCCACAGCGUGCGGUUCUAUUCCGCGUUGUGACCGCGCGCGGUGUUGCACGCAGAAAAAAAAGCGGCAUUACUGGUGGCGAGAAGUGAAAGAAUUCAGAUCGAAGGUGAAUUACAGCGCAAUCACGUCAUCACGCGCAAGAUAUGGUGUUUUGGUAUUGAUGGCUCGCUAAUCGUGACAAGUUGCGACGUCAAGGAAUAGGAAAUAAACAUUAAAAACUCUUAUAUUUGUAAUCACAUUAUAUUGCGCGUGGGUAAAUAUAAGUUUGCGCCUGAAGAUGCCUGACAAAGAACCAACAAGCGUCAUUAAUAUGACAGAAGAUUUACGUUCCGGAGUAGAAUCUUACCGUAAAAGUACUGAAGUACCAAUGCAAUUAUCAGAAACUGGUUAUAUACCUACAAAGUUCAAUGAAAGCAAUGACAGCAUUAUUUCUCCAAAACGUUCAACAUUAGAUGAUUCUGAUACACCUACACUUGAUAAAACGCAGUCUGAAUCUGCUUCAGGUAGUUCAUGGGAAUGGCGACAUCUAAAAGAAGAAGUAAGAUGACAUAAUAGAAGUCAUAUCACUUAAGACUAGAUUAACUCAUCAAGAAGCAACGGUGCAACAGCUGCACAACAUACGCAGACAAAUGGAAGAAAUCUUUUCAAAUGAAAAAAGUGUCUUGCAAGUACAGUUGCAUUACAGAAUAUGAAACUUAAGCUAGACACGUCAGAAAGAGUACUAUAGGAGGAGAGAAAGUUGAUAGUGGAAAGAGCCGCAAGGGCUGACGAUCUCGAAAAGGAAUUAAACAUGGCAAAAGAAACUAUUGCAGUGCUAAGAGAAUCGGUCAAGGAGAAAUUACUCUUAGAAGAACAAAUAAGCAAUAUGACUAAAAGAUUAGAACAGGCUGAUAAAUUAGACCAAGAAUUACUGAUUUUGGUGAAGACAAAUUUUGAGCUUGAACUUUGUGUGCUAGACUAUGAGAAAAUUAAUAGAGAAAAUGGUAUUGAUUGCGGACCCGUAGCAUUGAAACUAGAGCUAAAUAAACUUCAGCGAGGUUUCCGUGGA